GAUGAAGAACGCAGCGAAAUGCGAUAAGUAAUGCGAAUUGCAGAAUUCAGUGAAUCAUCGAAUCUUUGAACGCACAUUGCGCCCGCCAGUAUUCUGGCGGGCAUGCCUGUUCGAGCGUCAUUUCAACCAUCAAGCCCCCGGCUUGUGUUGGGGACCUGCGGCUGCCGCAGGCCCUGAAAAGCAGUGGCGGGCUCGCUGUCACACCGAGCGUAGUAGAUUUUAUCUCGCUCAGGGCGUGCUGCGGGUUCCGGCCGUUAAACCACCUUCAUAACCCAAGGUUGACCUCGGAUCAGGUAGGAAGACCCGCUGAACUUAAGCAUAUCAAUAAGCGGAGGA
rnacentral:misc_RNA from 1 species